rnacentral:sRNA from 1 species
CGCUGUCUACGACAGCCAUCCAAUGCUUCUGCACUCUGAGAGAAGCGCCUUCGGGUGAGUGCUAGUCAAUGUUUCGUAUGACCUGAGAGAAACGCCUUCAGGUGGUUAAAUAUCCUUGUAUCCUGAAAGAGGAUGCCCUUGUGGCGGAACCCCU